rnacentral:rRNA from 1 species
GAUGAACGCUGGCGGCGUGCUUAACACAUGCAAGUCGAACGGUGAACGAGGGAGCUUGCUCCCUCCGAAUCAGUGGCGAACGGGUGAGUAACACGUGAGCAAUCUGCCCUGGACUCUGGGAUAAGCGUUGGAAACGACGUCUAAUACCGGAUACGAGGCGUGGGGGCAUCCCCAACGCCUGGAAAGAACUUCGGUCCAGGAUGAGCUCGCGGCCUAUCAGCUAGUUGGUGAGGUAACGGCUCACCAAGGCGACGACGGGUAGCCGGCCUGAGAGGGUGACCGGCCACACUGGGACUGAGACACGGCCCAGACUCCUACGGGAGGCAGCAGUGGGGAAUAUUGCACAAUGGGCGCAAGCCUGAUGCAGCAACGCCGCGUGAGGGACGACGGCCUUCGGGUUGUAAACCUCUUUUAGCAGGGAAGAAGCGAAAGUGACGGUACCUGCAGAAAAAGCACCGGCUAACUACGUGCCAGCCGCCGCAGUAAAAC